CAAGACGUAGCUACAAUACAAAGCAUUCAGCUUACACCUGAAAGACACCCACCAUCCGGGUCGUCUUGA
rnacentral:tRNA from 1 species